rfam:Dipodomys ordii contig_45268, whole genome shotgun sequence.
GGGAAAGUAGCUCAGUGGUAGAGUCCAUGCCUUGCAAGCAUGAGGCCCUGGGUUCGAUUCCUCAGCACCA